CAUUAAUAUAUAAGUUUGUAUAUAAAUUAUAUUAGCUACAUAUAUUGUUUAAUGGAUAAGUUUUAGUAUUAAAUUAUAUAAUUAUAUCACCACGAUGGAUAAAUUGUAAAUGUUUUCCACCUAGUGACUAAACUAGUACGUGGCUAAUUUAGGAUCUCUUAUUUUGUUAGUUGUCUUUACUAGCUAUGUAUAUUGGUGUCACAAUCAAACACCACCGCCUAUGAAUAUUUUAAGUUGCAGCAAAACAUUUGUUCUUCUUUGUAUUUUAAACGAUGUGGAGCAGCUGUAUAUUUUUUAGGGUUUCCUUUAUGAAAUUUCCUCAAUUCUUUGAAAGCAAGUCAGAUAGUACUUCAUAAUGAAGUAAUGUGACGGGAAGCUUUAAGAAGGCGACCCAAGUUCUAUUUGCUGUCUACGACCUUUACGAGCUCAUACGAGCAUCCAAGACGAAGGAGCAACAGACCUGAGGUAGCUUGGAUAUCGAGAAGCAGGUUAUCAGGUAUGUUAAGGCUAUUCCUUCUUUUAUUUUGGCAUGAUCUAUGACAAGUGCGAAACGUAAUGAUAUUCAUAAUGAAUCCACUCCUAGAUGUAGGAGUUCACGUUCUUAUGUUGGUAUUGGUGUUGUUCAUAUUUUGAGUUCCUUGACUUCUUAAGUUCCGAAGGGGCAUCCAUAAG